CAACGUAGGUAAUCUACCUUCGGAUGGGGAAUAACAAUCGGAAACGGUUGCUAAUACCGCAUAAUGCAGCGGCACCUAAUGGUGACAGUUGUUAAAGCGGGGGAUCGAAAGACCUCGCGUCUGAAGAGGAGCCUGCGGCGGAUUAGCUUGUUGGUAAGGUAACGGCUUACCAAGGCGACGAUCCGUAGCCGGCCUGAGAGGGCGGUCGGCCACACUGACACUGACAUACGGGUCAG
rnacentral:rRNA from 1 species